GACGGAGGGCGCAAGCGUUGUUCGGAAUUACUGGGCGUAAAGGGUUCGUAGGUGGCCAACUAAGUCAGACGUGAAAUCCCUCAGCUUAACUGGGGAACUGCGUCUGAUACUGGAUGGCUUGAGUGUAGGAGAGGAAUGCGGAAUUCCAGGUGUAGCGGUGAAAUGCGUAGAUAUCUGGAGGAACACCGGUGGCGAAGGCGGGUCUCUGGGCCGAUACUGACGCUGAGGAGCGAAAGCGUGGGGAGCGAACAGG
rnacentral:rRNA from 1 species